rnacentral:piRNA from 1 species
GCAUGUCUCUGUGGCGCAAUCGGUU